UAAAUGGAAUAAUUCUUGGAGCCCCUGUCUUGCCUUCAGAGUUCAGCAACUGAGGAAAGUCUUGAUGGAUCACACUGCCCUGGAGGAGGAGGAGGAGGAGGAGGAGGAGGAGGAGGAAGAGGAGGACCUCGUUCACAAUGACGACCACGCCUGAAACCUGCUGUUCAUGAAUUUUGUUAUUUUGCAAUAAAGCACACUGUUCAAAAUCCUGUUUUUAUUUUCUUUGUUACUGAUUUUGUGUUGAAAGAAAGUUUUUCUGCUGAUAAAGUAUAAAGUCUAACGUUUACCAAAUAAUUCCUUCAGAAUGAUGAAUGUUUCUGUACCAGAAGACUGUUUAUGGGAUGUUUUGGAGUAUAUAUUCAAUGUAUUGACAAGGAGAAUUCACUACACAUCUUCAGAAACAUCUGCAAACUGCAUCUAAAACGUAUUACAAAAAGCGUUUUGAAAAGGUUGAAUAAAUGUGGCACAGUGAA